rnacentral:lncRNA from 1 species
ACGUGUUUUGGCCAAGAUGGUGACGUGGCAAAUUUAGUCUGAAUCGGAAGUGGAUAAGGGUGAACGCAUGUUCUCCCUUCAAAACUGGAAGAUGAUAUACUUAAAGCCUUUAUGAUAAGGAUGAAUACGGGCGAGAUAAGCUUCAAGCAAAGUUCAAUCAAACCAGGAGAACCACACACCUGAAUUAAAGAGCAGAUUUUAGAAGAGAACCACACCAAAUCCUUACCAAUAGUUUUCAUUUUGGUUAAGCCCUUUGGGGCAAGACNUGUUUCUGUUUGGGAGGACACACUGAUGAGGCAUGGCUCGAGGAGGCUGGAAUGGGCACAACGGAGCACUUAUCUGGGCUUUGGGAAUGAUCUGGAGACUAGCCAUGUUAGUUAGAGUGUCGCAGUGUGGAUAAACUUCAAGUAGAGACAGACAUAUGUGCUCGCUAUUAUUUUCGCUACGCCGCAAGUGCACGGUGUAGUUGCAAUAUAGGGAAGCAAUGUCGUAUUCCACAAGGAUUGGUGAAUUUAAACUUCUAAAUAUUAUUAAUAAGUUGUUUUCAAUCUAUUUAGACAAACCAAAGAUGAAGAGAUAUUGAGAACUAAAACAAAGCUAAAUAAAGCAAGUAAAUAAAAUAACAACAAGAUAAACUUAGUUAAUAAAUUGGGGAAUGACUCGAAUGAAAGUUAUCCUAGGGACUAGAUUUCGAUGGAUCGUAAUGAACUUCAAUCUAAAGCAAUAUUAAUCUUGAUAUGACCUACUUAUCUAGGGCGAUCUCCCCACUAGUUUUAGCCCCCUCCCGGACGACUAAAACAGUAGAUUACGGGUCAUAAUUUCCGUCCCCGGUCAAUUUCUAACCUAUAACUCCCAAGAGCACAAAAGAUCAACAAGCCCUCACCCAACUCUCAACCUCCCGGUUUAUUGAGAUGAUAUGUUUCAAGCUCCUAAUCUAUUGUAAUUAUCCUCUCCCGAUUCAAAUCACAAAUUAGAAAUGCACAAAAGGUGCCCAACCAAUCAUACAAGAGAUAAAUCUAGGGCUUGAAAAGAUAACAAUAAGCACAAUCAAGAUAUAAAUAUUAAAUAAAGAAAUCAAUCCAUUACAAAUCCAUCUAAUCUAAUCCCUAAGAUAAGGGAUUUUAGCCAAGCAUAUUUAUAAUAAAAAUAAAUCCCAAGUCAUAAGAAAACAUAAAUAAAGAUAUAGAGAGAUAGAGAUUCAUAGACAAAUCCUAUAAUCUUGAUCUUCAAUCAUGUAGUCUUGAUGAGCUCCUUUCCAAGUCUUCCCCUUCUUUCUUUGAUUUUGGUGUUGUUCUUGUGUGUGGAAGAGAGAAAAAUGGUAGAGAAUGGAGGCUAGGGUUUGGAAUUGGAGUGUUGGGGAAGAUGAAAUUGGGUGUGAAUGGUGAAUGAUAUGAAAAGUGGGGGAAAAAUAGGUAUUUGGGGGUUGAAAUCGCGUCUAGGCCUCACCAAAAGCAUCAAUUCCGUGUUUCUCCCGCGGUCACGGCCGUGACCGCGGCGUAGGACCGUGGGGAGCUUUUGGAGAGGCCCGCGGUCGGGCCCGCGGCCGCGGCCCGGACCGCGGGUGAAAUCUGGCGUUCUGGACGAUUUUGGAGCAGAAGCCCGCGGUCGGGCCCGUGACCGCGUCCCGGACCGCGGGGUACUGGGCUCUGUGCGCAGUCCGCUUGUUUUGCUCCGUUCUCCCUCGUCCGGACUCGGAUUUGGUCGCCGUUUGCGCUCACGGAUUCCUCUCGAGACGCACUUCAAUCUCAUGUCUUUAAAAUCCUCCAAUUAAUCCUUGAUUUUUCCUGAAAUUACUCCAAAACUACACCAAAACAUCAAAUCUUCAUAAAACUAAAUAUUCGGGCACAAACAAACAUUCACAAGCAAAACAUGAAGGGAAAUGACAACAAAACAUGUGGAAUUGAGGUACGAAAACCAUGUUUGUCAAUAUGCCAACCGCUUAACCAGGCGUCAUGGGUUAGAACAAACAGUACCGCUCAUAGCAGGGGCUUCGCUGGUGCUGGGUAAGAUGGAACUAAUUUCUAGAAAUGAUGUUGCAACUUAAGCUAAUUAUCAUUGACCAAGAAUCAGCCUAACUUCCUCUCAAAAUCAAGCUUUCAUCAAUAGAAGCAUCUCGGCGAAGAUGAUGACAUGGCAGAUAAGAUUCCUACAAAUCCACUUGUGAUAUGCAAAGAAUCUAAAUAAGACGAGCAUGAACUAGUCCACGCAAAGAAGGACUCUGGGCAAGAUGUGUUUGGCCAAGAUGAUGACGUGGUAGCUAAAAUUACUACAAAUCCACUUGUAAUAAGGAAAAAAUCUAGAUAAGAUAAGUAUGGAAUAGUCCACACAAGGAAGCACUGUGGGCAAGACGUGUUUUGGCCAAGAUGGUGACGUGGCAAAUUUAGUCUGAAUCGGAAGUGGAUAAGGGUGAACGCAUGUUCUCCCUUCAAAACUGGAAGAUGAUAUACUUAAAGCCUUUAUGAUAAGGAUGGAUACGGGCGAGAUAAGCUUCAAGCAAAGUUCAAUCAAACCAGGAGAACCACACACCUGAAUUAAAGAGCAGAUUUUAGAAGAGAACCACACCAAAUCCUUACCAAUAGUUUUUCAUUUUGGUUAAGCCCUUUGGGGCAAGACACUAGUUUAGUUUUUCGUAUGUUUAUUGCUGUCGGCGCUGGUGCUUGCCGUGUUUUUUAUUUCCGUUCAA